UACGAAGGGGGCUAGCGUUGCUCGGAAUGACUGGGCGUAAAGGGCGCGUAGGCGGCUUGUAUAGUCGGAUGUGAAAUUCCUGGGCUUAACCUGGGGGCUGCAUACGAGACGUAUGGGCUUGAGUGCGGAAGAGGGUCGUGGAAUUCCCAGUGUAGAGGUGAAAUUCGUAGAUAUUGGGAAGAACACCGGUGGCGAAGGCGGCGACCUGGUCCGUGACUGACGCUGAGGCGCGAAAGCUAGGGUAGCAAACGGG
rnacentral:rRNA from 1 species